GAUGAAGAACGUAGUGAAAUGCGAUAAUUAAUGUGAAUUGCAGAAUUCAGUGAAUCAUCGAAUCUUUGAACGCACAUUGCGCCCCUUGGUAUCCCGAGGGGCAUGCCUGUUCGAGCGUCAUUUCACCACUCAAGCCUGGCUUGGUGUUGGGCGACGUCCUCUUUGGGGACGCGCCUCGAAACGCUCGGCGGCGUGGCACCGGCUUUAAGCGUAGCAGAAUCUUUCGCUUUGGAAGUCGGGGCCCCGUCUGCCGGAAGACCUGCUCGCAAGGUUGACCUCGGAUCAGGCAGGGAUACCCGCUGAACUUAAGCAUAUCAAUAAGCGGAGGA
rnacentral:misc_RNA from 1 species